UACGAAGGGGGCUAGCGUUGUUCGGAUUUACUGGGCGUAAAGCGCACGUAGGCGGAUCGUUAAGUCGGGGGUGAAAUCCUGGAGCUCAACUCCAGAACUGCCUUCGAUACUGGCGAUCUUGAGUCCGGAAGAGGUGAGUGGAACUCCUAGUGUAGAGGUGGAAUUCGUAGAUAUUAGGAAGAACACCAGUGGCGAAGGCGGCUCACUGGUCCGGUACUGACGCUGAGGCUCGAAAGCGUGGGGAGCAAACAGG
rnacentral:rRNA from 1 species